UCUGAAGAAGAAAACUGAUCAGUAGAACU
rnacentral:piRNA from 1 species